UAACGAAUAUUGGGCAAUGGGCGCAAGCCUGACCCAGCAAUGCCGCGUGCAGGAGGAAGCCCUUCGGGGUGUAAACUGCUGUCAGGAGUCAGCAAACAAUGGGCGUGAAUAGCGUCCGGCGUUGAGCAGCUCCAGAGGAAGCCUCGACUAACUCUGUGCCAGCAGUCGCGGUAAUACAGAGGAGGCAAGCGUUGUUCGGAAUCACUGGGCUUAAAGAGGGUGUAGGCGGCUUGGUAAGUGUCGUGUGAAAUCCAACGGCUCAACCGUUGAACUGCACGGCAAACUGCCUGGCUUGAGGUCGGUAGAGGUGCCUGGAACUCUUGGUGGAGCGGUGAAAUGCGUAGAUAUCAAGAGGAACGCCAGAGGCGAAAGCGGGGCACUGGGCCGAUUCUGACGCUGAGACCCGAAAGCGUGGGGAGCAAACA
rnacentral:rRNA from 1 species